CCCGAAGCCGGUGGAGUAACCUUUUAGGAGCUAGCCGUCGAAGGUGGGACAAAUGAUUGGGGUGAAGUCGUAACAAGGUAGCCGUAUCGGAAGGGGCGGCUGGAUCACCUCCUUUCUAAGGA
rnacentral:rRNA from 1 species